rnacentral:rRNA from 1 species
GAUGAACGCUGGCGGCGUGCCUAAUACAUGCGAGUCGAGCGAACGGACGAGAAGCUUGCUUCUCUGAUGUUAGCGGUGGACGGGUGAGUAACACGUGGAUAACCUACCUAUAAGACUGGGAUAACUUCGGGAAACCGGAGCUAAUACCGGAUAAUAUUUUGAACAGCAUGGUUCAAAAGUGAAAGACGGUCUUGCUGUCACUUAUAGAUGGAUCCGCGCUGCAUUAGCUAGUUGGUAAGGUAACGGCUUACCAAGGCAACGAUGCAUAGCCGACCUGAGAGGGUGAUCGGCCACACUGGAACUGAGACACGGUCCAGACUCCUACGGGAGGCAGCAGUAGGGAAUCUUCCGCAAUGGGCGAAAGCCUGACGGAGCAACGCCGCGUGAGUGAUGAAGGUCUUCGGAUCGUAAAACUCUGUUAUUAGGGAAGAACAUAUGUGUAAGUAACUGUGCACAUCUUGACGGUACCUAAUCAGAAAGCCACGGCUAACUACGUG